ACGUCCCUCCAUGGCCUCUGCAUCAGCUCCUGCUUCCUGGCCUGCUUGAGUUCCAGUCCUGACUUCCUUUUGUGAUGAACAACAAUGUGGAAGUCUUGACUGGAUCUAGAACCCACCUAGGAGACUCUCCUCCGAGAAGGUCUGUGAAGGAUUACUCAGAGAGUUUAACUAAGGGGAGAGGACGAAGUCUCAAUGUGAGUGGGACCAUCGCGUGGGCUGGGGCCCAAGGCUGCACACAAAGGAGAGAACAUGCUGGAGCACCAACCGUCUACCUCCUGACCAGACGCCUCAAGAUUCUGAAGCUGUAAUGUUGCCCCGGUGAUGGACUGUGCCUCCCUACUCGAUCCCUGCACCUGCACGUCGAGAGUCAUGAGGUAUCACGUCUGAGGCUCUGCAUGGGAAUCUCCUCUCCUCACUGUUCCCUUGUUGCUCCCAGCCUCCUGUCUGUCUGCUGUCCCAUUAUUCUUGUUCCUUUCUAUCUUUGGAUUGUUUGUAUGGUCGGUGCCUUCUUCAUCUUAGCUGGUUUCACUCCCCCCCUCCCUCCCUCCCUCCUUUCCUCCUUCCUUCCUUCCUUCCUUCCUUCCUUCCUUCCUUCCUUCCUUCCUUCCUUCCCUUUCCUUCCCCAGUGCUGGAAGCCACCAGCCUCAGUGGUACCAAUAUUUCAGAAGUAUGUGGUUCAGUGGGAAGGGGUGGGGUGGAUAUGGAUUCCCAGUGACUCCAUCCAUCCCUCUCUCCUGGAGCCAGCGCUGGUGUUUAUGAAGUGAAGAUGAUCGUGUAAGGAUGCUGGGGACCCAUGUCACAGAAAGAACUGACUCCUGCAAUUGUCUCCUGACCUCCACAUGCGAUCUGUGGCAUCCAUGCAGCCAUCCCACCCCAGACAUAAAAUGGAUUAAAGUGGAAAAUUCUGGUUUCUUUGGAAAGUUAUGUCAAAUGGCGUCUUGCUGGGGCACACGAGUGAAAGGGAUACCUUGCUAAAGCAUACAUGUUAAAGAAUGUUUUCCUGAAGCAGACACAGGUGAAAGAAUGUUUUGAUAUCGCAAACACGUGAAAGAACACUUGGUGCAGGAGUAGAAACAGGACCCCACAGACAGCUGGAGAGGAGCUCUGAGCUUUGGUUUGGCUUUUUCUCCACCUCGCUAUUCCUCAGUAAAGAUGAGCAUGUAUUGGUUCACCUUACACAGUGUAGUUGAUCUCCAGUUGUGGUGACGCCAGAGGGAAACUCACCGAGAACCGCUGGGAAUGUUCCCGAGCCAGCUUGCCUCAACUGUGGCCUUGCCUCAAGCUGGUUGGCAAGCCUGGUGGUUUUGUCAGGAUUGAACUAUGGCUGCUGGUUCGUGCCUGGUGUUUGCCUGCAGAAAGAACUGUUCUGUAGCUACCAGUUCAUGCGUGGUCGUCUGCCUGCCUAGAGGACUGGUCUGCAGCUGCUGAGUCGUAUUUGGUGUUUGCUACAGGACUGAACUGCUGCAAAAAAUCGAGCUCACCCCCCCCCCCAAAGAACUAUUGCUGAAGAGGUUCACUUCCCCCAUAGCCUAAUAACUUUUUCUCUUCCACUACCUCUGCUGGGUGGUGAGCCAGAGGUGAGGUUGAACCCUUAUUAAAAGUAGGUUGUGAAAAAUUUAUGUCUACGAUGGAUUUCUAAAAAAAUGUAGUAGCCAUCGAAGUAACUUGAUACUGAAGAAGCGUGAGGAAUGGAUUGAGAAGUUCUUCCUUCUUGGGGAUUCUGGGAACUCCACACCCUGACUUCUCCAUCCUACACCCCAAACAAUCUCAUCCGAGAAGCACGCUUUAGAACAGUCUCCUCAUCCUGGAAGCAACGAGAGAAACAUGAGCCUAAUAUCUUCGAUUAGUCAGAAGAGCCGCAGCUCCAGGCUGCGCGUGCUCUGCCCCACGGGAGGCUGGAGUAUUAAUGGCCACAGAUCU